rnacentral:rRNA from 1 species
CCUACGGGUGGCAGCAGUGAGGAAUAUUGGUCAAUGGACGAGAGCCUGAACCAGCCAAGUAGCGUGAAGGAUGACUGCCCUAAGGGUUGUAAACUUCUUUUAUAUGGGAAUAAAAUGUUCCACGUGUGGGUUUUUGUAUGUACAAUAUGAAUACGGAUCGGCUAACUCCGUGCCAGCAGCCGCGGUAAUACGGAGGAUCCGAGCGUUAUCCGGAUUUAUUGGGUUUAAAGGGAGCGUAGAUGGGUUGUUAAGUCAGUUGUGAAAGUUUGCGGCUCAACCGUAAAAUUGCAGUUGAGACUGGCAGUCUUGAGUACAGUAGAGGUGGGCGGAAUUCGUGGUGUAGCGGUGAAAUGCUUAGAUAGCACGAAGAACUCCGAUUACGAAGGCAGCUCACUAGACUGCAACUGACACUGAGGCUCGAAAGUGUGGGUAUCAAACAGGAUUAGAUACCACAGUAGUC